rnacentral:SRP_RNA from 1 species
GUCAGGCGCAGUGGCACAUGCCUGUAGUCCCAGCUACUCGGGAGGCUGAGGCUAGAGGAUCGCUUGAGCCCAGGAGUUCUGGGCUGUAGUGCACUAUGCCGAUCGGGUGUCCGCACUAAGUUCCGCAUCAGUGUGGUGGCCUCCUGGGAGUAGGGGGCCACCAGGUUGCCUAAGGAGGGGUGAACCAGCCCAGGUCAGAAACGGAGCAGGUCAAAACUCGCAUACUGAUCAGUAGUGGGAUCGCGCCUGUGAAUAGCCACUGCACUCCAGCCUGGGCAACAUGGCGAGACCUGUCUCUU